UGAUGACGAGACGCUAAGGCGUCGAAGCAGUGUAUGUCAGACUUCCAAGAAAAGCUCGCAAUGUCACAAAUAAAAAGUGCCUGUACCAUAACCGACACAGGUGGGUAGGUAGAGUAUACUAAGGGGCGCGAGAUAACUCUCUCUAAGGAACUCGGCAAAAUGACUCCGUAACUUCGGGAGAAGGAGUGCCUUAUUUAUAAGGUUGCAAUAACAAGAUCCAAGCAACUGUUUAUCAAAAACACAGGUCUCCGCUAAGUCGUAAGACGAUGUAUGGGGGCUGACGCCUGCCCAGUGCCAGAAGGUUAAAGAAGUUGGUUAGUGUAUGCGAAGCUGAUGACUGAAGCCCUGGUGAACGGCGGCCGUAACAAUAACGGUCCUAAGGUAGCGAAAUUCCUUGUCGGGUAAGUUCCGACCCGCACGAAAGGCGUAAUGAUUUGGAUACUGUCUCGGAGAGAGGCUCGGUGAAAUAGACUUGUCUGUGAAGAUGCGGACUACCUGCACCAGGACAGAAAGACCCUAUGAAGCUUUACUGUAACUUGAAAUUGGAAUUGGACUUUGCUUGCGUAGUAUAGGUGGGAAGCGUUGAAAAUAUUCUUGCGGGAGUAUUGGAGCUAUCAGUGAGAUACCACUCUUGUAAUGUUAGAUUUCUAACUUUGAACCAUAAUCUGGUCAAAGAACAGUUUCAGGUGGGCAGUUUGACUGGGGCGGUCGCCUCCCAAAUGGUAACGGAGGCGUACAAAGGUUUCCUCUGAACGGAUAGAAAUCGUAUCUAGAGUGUAAAGGCAUAAGGAAGCUUGACUGUGAGACCUACAAGUCGAGCAGGGACGAAAGUCGGUCUUAGUGAUCUGACGGUACUGAGUGGAAAGGCCGUCACUCAACGGAUAAAAGUUACUCUAAGGAUAACAGGCUGAUCUCCCCCAAGAGUUCACAUCGACGGGGAGGUUUGGCACCUCGAUGUCGGCUCAUCGCAUCCUGGGGCGGUAGUACGUCCCAAGGGUUGGGCUGUUCGCCCAUGAAAGCGGUACGCGAGCUGGGUUCAGAACGUCGUGAGACAGUUCGGUCCAUAUCCGGUGUAGGCGCUAGAAUAUUGAGAGGAGCCUUCUUUAGUACGAGAGGACCGAGAAGGACACACCGCUGGUGUACCAGUUAUCGUGCCAACGGUAAACGCUGGGUAGCUAUGUGUGGAGUGGAUAACCGCUGAAAGCAUCUAAGUGGGAAGCCCACCUCGAGAUGAGUA
rnacentral:rRNA from 1 species